UGAAGUCAAGUCCCAUAUCUCUGGAGCGAGCAAUGCCUCGUACUGGAGCCCUGUUUGCAGCAGACCUUCGGCGGAAUUAAAGCAGGAGAGACACUCACAGUGGCAGGAGCACGGGACCUGCCUGCAGCAUGGUCCCAUCCAGAAGGUUCAAUCCAGACCAGCAUCUCUGACGUGGAGAAAUAUUUGCUGAAGUAUGUGGUGACUGGAAGAAAGGGUGCAAAACUGGAAUGAAGGAAACCAGGAGAUGGUCCAUAAUAAUGAUCCAUAAAACUGAUACGUGUUUCCAGAGUGCUGAAGGCUCUGGAAAAGCUCCCAACAACUGCCUUGUGGUAAGAGCGCCAAGGAGCAUGAUGACCGUUGAAUACCACGAUAUCCUGCCUUGUCCUGCCACCCUCUCACCACCCUCAACACACUGCGGUCUUAACGCUUCCCUACUUUACGAUGAUCCUUUCUCCAUCUGUCCACCCCGACCACCAGAUUUGAGCCUCUUACCAAGAUCUGCCUUCGAUUUCCACAAGGUUUCUAUUUCUUCUCAUUCAUGGACAACAGGAAUGAAAAAACAUCCCAAGUUGCAGACUGACGUGCCCUGCAUUUCCCCCUAGAUCCCCU
rnacentral:lncRNA from 1 species